GUAGCCUUCGUCAAUUAUUACUCUAGGACGUUUCACUGAGCGACUGGCUCUCUGUUCGAAAAUGGGUCAAUUCCAUGACAGUAUUUCGUUUGCUCGUAUAAAAGCUAUUUUCGAGACAUUGCGAUUUCUCAUAGUCAACAACAAUCAAGAGUAAUCGAUUCCAGUUUAUUUGCACAAUGACCGCGUGGGAAUAAUUUCUCCUAAAUCAUUCGAAGGGCUGCCAAAAGUAUCUUUUCAUCUGCUACUUCAAACUUUCACAAUCGCUGACGACCGGCACGAUCCCAAGCUAGUGCGAUCGACGUGCAACACCCGUUUCACCAACGGCUUACAAUGAUACACGAGUGUUCAAAACGCUUGUCUGCAGAUUACUAAUGAGAAUGACGCCCCGUGUACGUGCACUUAUUGCAAUUAUUCUUUGCAAAAUAAAACUCGCAAGGUCGACCGCA